rnacentral:rRNA from 1 species
AUAUUGCGCAAUGGGCGGAAGCCUGACGCAGCAACGCCGCGUGAGGGAUGACGGCCUUCGGGUUGUAAACCUCUUUCAGCAGGGACGAAGCUUUCGGGUGACUGUACCUGCAGAAGAAGGACCGGCUAACUACGUGCCAGCAGCCGCGGUAAUACGUAGGGUCCGAGCGUUGUCCGGAAUUAUUGGGCGUAAAGAGCUCGUAGGCGGUUCGUUGCGUCUGCCGUGAAAGCCCACAGCUUAACUGUGGGUCUGCGGUGGAUACGGGCGGACUUGAGUCCUGUAGGGGAGACUGGAAUUCCUGGUGUAGCGGUGGAAUGCGCAGAUAUCAGGAGGAACGCCGGUGGCGAAGGCGGGUCUCUGGGCAGGUACUGACGCUGAGGAGCGAAAGCGUGGGGAGCGAAC